CACAUGCAGUCGAGCGGGGAACGGAUGGUAGCUUGCUACUGUUUGUUUCUAGCGGCGGACGGGUGAGUAACGCGUGAGCAACCUGCCUUUAUCAGGGGGAUAACGCAUCGAAAGAUGUGCUAAUACCGCGUAAGACCACAGCUUCACAUGGAGCGGGGGUCAAAGGAGCAAUCCGGAUAAAGAUGGGCUCGCGUCCGAUUAGCUAGUUGGUGAGAUAACAGCCCACCAAGGCGACGAUCGGUAGCCGACCUGAGAGGGUGAUCGGCCACAUUGGAACUGAGAGACGGUCCAGACUCCUACGGGAGGCAGCAGUGGGGAAUAUUGGGCAAUGGGCGAAAGCCUGACCCAGCAACGCCGCGUGAGAGAAGAAGGGUUUCGGCUCGUAAACCUCUGUCCUAUGGGACGAAGGAAGUGACGGUACCAUAGGAGGAAGCCCCGGCUAACUACGUGCCAGCAGCCGCGGUAAUACGUAGGGGGCGAGCGUUGUCCGGAAUGAUUGGGCGUAAAGGGCGCGUAGGCGGCCUGCUAAGUCUGGAGUGAAAGUCCUGCUUUCAAGGUGGGAAUUGCUUUGGAUACUGGUGGGCUGGAGUGCAGGAGAGGAAAGCGGAAUUACCGGUGUAGCGGUGAAAUGCGUAGAGAUCGGUAGGAACACCAGUGGCGAAGGCGGCUUUCUGGACUGAAACUGACGCUGAGGCGCGAAAGCGUGGGGAGCAAACAGGAUUAGAUACCCUGGUAGUCCACGCGGUAAACGAUGAAUGCUAGGUGUAGGAGGUAUCGACCCCUUCUGUGCCGCAGUAAACACAAUAAGCAUUCCGCCUGGGGAGUACGGCCGCAAGGUUGAAACUCAGAGGAAUUGACGGGGGCCCGCACAAGCAGCGGAGCAUGUGGUUUAAUUCGAAGCAACGCGAA
rnacentral:rRNA from 1 species